rnacentral:misc_RNA from 1 species
AAGUCGUAACAAGGUCUCCGUAGGUGAACCUGCGGAGGGAUCAUCAUAGGAUUAUUUUCUACUACUCUAACUGGGUGGUUGGUCUUCUCCUGCUUUUUAUUAAGUGGGUGGGGGAUUUGAUCACUUCAAACAAACGAUCACAACUAUAUUGUGUUGGAUUGGAUUGGGGAGAGAGGGGGGAAAGGAGCAAGCUGAGUGGCUGGGCCAUACUCUGCAUCAGCAUCAUGGCUGGCCGUUCAUGCUUUUGUUGUUUGCUGCUUGUCUCGAAUUCUCGACCCAAAAGAAAGAAGGGAUUGCCUGAUAAGUGGUUGGUAUAUGUGAUUUUGGGAGAAAAACAGAAUACAACUUUCAACAACGGAUCUCUUGGCUCUCA